CCUACGGGAGGCAGCAGUGAGGAAUAUUGGACAAUGGGCGCAAGCCUGAUCCAGCCAUGCCGCGUGCAGGAUGACGGUCCUAUGGAUUGUAAACUGCUUUUGUACAGGAAGAAACCCUUUCACGUGUGGAAGAUUGACGGUACUGUAAGAAUAAGGAUCGGCUAACUCCGUGCCAGCAGCCGCGGUAAUACGGAGGAUCCAAGCGUUAUCCGGAAUCAUUGGGUUUAAAGGGUCCGUAGGCGGUUUAGUAAGUCAGUGGUGAAAGCCCAUCGCUCAACGGUGGAACGGCCAUUGAUACUGCUAGACUUGAAUUAUUAGGAAGUAACUAGAAUAUGUAGUGUAGCGGUGAAAUGCUUAGAGAUUACAUGGAAUACCAAUUGCGAAGGCAGGUUACUACUAAUGGAUUGACGCUGAUGGACGAAAGCGUGGGUAGCGAACAGGAUUAGAUACCCUGGUAGUCCACGCCGUAAACGAUGGAUACUAGCUGUUGGGCGCAAGUUCAGUGGCUAAGCGAAAGUGAUAAGUAUCCACCUGGGGAGUAACGUUGCAAGAAGUAGAAGUUAAAGUAAGUUAGAGGNGNGAGAGNGCGAGGACGACGACGAGGGAGGAGG
rnacentral:rRNA from 1 species